UACGUAGGGUGCGAGCGUUAAUCGGAAUUACUGGGCGUAAAGCGUGCGCAGGCGGUUUGUAAGCCAGAUGUGAAAUCCCCGGGCUUAACCUGGGAAUGGCAUUUGGGACUGCAAGGCUGGAGUGUGGCAGAGGAGACUGGAAUUCCCGGUGUAGCAGUGAAUGCGUAGAUAGUCGGGAGGAAUACCGUGGCGAAGGCAGGUCUCUGGGCUGACACUGACGCUCAUGCACGAAAGCGUGGGGAGCAAACAGG
rnacentral:rRNA from 1 species